rnacentral:sRNA from 10 species
ACUCAACGCGAAUUAAUUAAAAAGAGUGAGUCCAAGCCCUAGAGCGUGCCCUAAUCUUUUGGGAUUUUCGAAUGCUUGGUUAGCUUUAAUCUUGUAUAAAUGGAGUUU